rnacentral:tRNA from 1 species
GCCUGGCUGGUUCAGUCUGUAGGGCACGAGACUCUUGAUCUUGGGGUUAUGAGUUCAACCCCACGUUGGGCA